rnacentral:rRNA from 1 species
UGAGGAAUCUUCCACAAUGGACGAAAGUCUGAUGGAGCAACUCCGCGUGCAGGAUGAAGGCCCUCGGGUCGUAAACUGCUUUUAUGAGUGAAGAAUAUGACGGUAACUCAUGAAUAAGGGUCGGCUAACUACGUGCCAGCAGCCGCGGUCAUACGUAGGACCCAAGCGUUAUCCGGAGUGACUGGGCGUAAAGAGUUGCGUAGGUGGUCAGUAAAGUGAAUAGUGAAAUCUGGUGGCUCAACCAUACAGGCUAUUAUUCAAACUCACUGACUCGAGAAUGGUAGAGGUAACUGGAAUUUCUAGUGUAGGAGUGAAAUCCGUAGAUAUUAGAAGGAACACCAAUGGCGUAGGCAGGUUACUGGACCAUUUCUGACACUGAGGCACGAAAGCGUGGGGAGCGAAC